GCGACUCCUUCAGAAGGUCCCACGCAUGCACUGCCGCGCUCAGUGCCCCCAGCCUGCAGCAGCCACCAUCGACCCACGCCUCCGCCAGGGACUCCUGGACACUCCUGGAGGAAGGACAAAGAAGAUGUGAGAUGUCUACACACAGUGGAGACAGACACGCACACUAGUCUACUGCUCAACCAUAGAAAAGGAUGACAGCAGAGCCGUUUGCAGCAGCAUGGACGGACUUGGAGGGUGUCAGGCUUCGUGAGACACGUCAGACAGAAACAAAUACCGCAUCCUGAUUCUGGGGUGAAACCUACCUGCGUACUUGAAGUCCAGCCCAACUCAGUGGGUCAGAAUCUGCCUUUUAAGAAAAUCCCCAGAGGACUCAUAUGCAUGUUAAGUUCGAGAAGGACUACCUGUAAAAACACACUCAAAUUUGGCUGAAGCUUAAGUGCUGGUCUGCAGAAGAAACACAGGAAACGCAGCAAGUCCCACCCCUGGGGACUAUAGGACGUGCCUACAGGAAGCCUCAU
ensembl:lncRNA